GGGUGGGGUUAGGCUGGUUGCAUCUAUUUUUCUACUUCAUCUUGACCGUAACUUUACCUGCAGCCAUUACUGUCAUUUUGCAGACGAAGAAAUGAGGCUCAGAGAGGUUGCGUAACCUGCUCACGUGCUCAAGGGAACAAGUGCGGAGCUGGCGGUUUGUGAUGAUGCUGCAUUUCCCAUCAUGUCUGGGAUCAGUGUUUGUAAUAGAUUUGCUUUUAUGCCCGGCUCCUGAAGAGCAUUCUCAUUAUCUGAUAAGAGAAGCUGAUGUCCAGUAGCCUUCUGAGGUAGAUGCAAACCAAGAGUCAACUAAGAACUUAAGAAGUUGUGUAAGGAGCUAUGUGGAAUCGGAAUGACUGCAUUGUCUAGAAACCAACCUAGCUGACUUUCUGAAUGAAUUUGUCUUCAACUAAUUUACUGUUAACCUGUACCCCUAUAGCUAACUAUAUUGCUUACGAGUCCCAGUUAGACUACAUGAAGUCUGCCAAGUUGAAUUUCAUUUCUCUGUCUCAAUUUUUCACUCAUCAUUUCAAGAGAAA